rnacentral:ncRNA from 1 species
AUGGCUCAUUAAAUCAUUUAUAGUUUCUUUGAUGGUACCCUACUACUCGGAUAACCAUAGUAAUGAGUACAAUCUAAAUAACUUAGCGAGGAUCCAUUGGAGGGCAAGUUUGGUGCCAGCAGCCGUGGUAAUUCCAGCUCCAAUAUUGUAUAUUUAAGUUGUUGUAGUUAAAAAACUCGUAGUUGGAUCUUGGGUCGUAAAGGUCGGUCCACCUACUCGGUGUGCACCUACCCUUCCGUCCCUUUUGUCGACGGUGUGCUCCUAGCCUUAAUUGGAUGGGUCACGGUUCCGAUUGUAGCACCCAUCCACAAGAUGCUAAGCAAAUAAUCAUUUAUUCAAACACAUACACAAUAACAACUUCGUUUUAGCAUUAUUCCAUUUUCAUUUAAACAAUUAUUCUA